UACCAGCACCCCGAGUGGUCGGGACGUUUAUUGGGCCUAAAGCAUCCGUAGCCGGUUCUACAAGUCUUCCGUUAAAUCCACCUGCUUAACAGAUGGGCUGCGGAAGAUACUAUGGAGCUAGGAGGCGGGAGAGGCAAGCGGUACUCGAUGGGUAGGGGUAAAAUCCGUUGAUCCAUUGAAGACCACCAGUGGCGAAGGCGGCGUUCUGGGCAGCGACUGACACUGAGACGCGAAAGCGUGGGAAGCAAACAGG
rnacentral:rRNA from 1 species